GAUGAACGCUGGCGGCGUGCCUAAUACAUGCAAGUCGAACGCAUUGAGAGAAGUGCUUGCACUUUUCAAUUUGAGUGGCGAACGGGUGAGUAACACGUGGGCAACCUACCUGAUAGCGGGGGAUAACGAGUGGAAACAUUCGCUAAUACCGCAUAACAAUAGAGAAGGCAUCUUCUUUAUUUCAAAGGCGCUCUCAAGCGUCACUAUCAGAUGGGGCCGGGGUGCAUUAGUUAGUUGGUGGGGUGAAGGCCUCCCAAGACGAUGAUGCAUAGCCGAGUUGGGAGACUGAUCGGCCACAUUGGGACUGAGACACGGCCCAAACUCCUACGGGAGGCUGCAGUAGGGAAUCUUCCACAAUGGACGAAAGUCUGAUGGAGCAACGCCGCGUGUGUGAUGAAGGCUUUCGGGUCGUAAAGCACUGUUGUAUGGGAAGAAAUGCUAGGCUAGGAAAUGAGCUUAGUUUGACGGUACCAUACCAGAAAGGGACGGCUAAAUACGUGCCAGCCGCCGCAGUAA
rnacentral:rRNA from 1 species